rnacentral:rRNA from 1 species
CCCGGAAGUUAAGCCCGCCAGCGUACCGCCUUGUACUACGGUGCGCGAGCCCGUGGGAAGGGCGGUUCGCUGUCAAGC